rnacentral:rRNA from 1 species
GUACACAAAAAUGCACAUGCUGUGAGCUCGAUGAGUAGGGCGGGACACGUGGUAUCCUGUCUGAAUAUGGGGGGACCAUCCUCCAAGGCUAAAUACUCCUGACUGACCGAUAGUGAACCAGUACCGUGAGGGAAAGGCGAAAAGAACCCCGGCGAGGGGAGUGAAAAAGAACCUGAAACCGUGUACGUACAAGCAGUGGGAGCACGCUUAGGCGUGUGACUGCGUACCUUUUGUAUAAUGGGUCAGCGACUUAUAUUCUGUAGCAAGGUUAACCGAAUAGGGGAGCCGAAGGGAAACCGAGUCUUAACUGGGCGUUAAGUUGCAGGGUAUAGACCCGAAACCCGGUGAUCUAGCCAUGGGCAGGUUGAAGGUUGGGUAACACUAACUGGAGGACCGAACCGACUAAUGUUGAAAAAUUAGCGGAUGACUUGUGGCUGGGGGUGAAAGGCCAAUCAAACCGGGAGAUAGCUGGUUCUCCCCGAAAGCUAUUUAGGUAGCGCCUCGUGAAUUCAUCUCCGGGGGUAGAGCACUGUUUCGGCAAGGGGGUCAUCCCGACUUACCAACCCGAUGCAAACUGCGAAUACCGGAGAAUGUUAUCACGGGAGACACACGGCGGGUGCUAACGUCCGUCGUGAAGAGGGAAACAACCCAGACCGCCAGCUAAGGUCCCAAAGUCAUGGUUAAGUGGGAAACGAUGUGGGAAGGCCCAGACAGCCAGGAUGUUGGCUUAGAAGCAGCCAUCAUUUAAA